UCCAUCUCUUUCUUCACUUUCACUUAUUAUUCUCUCCAUUCUUGUUCUUGCUUUGAGAUUCAUUCACUAAUUAACAAACAAGAACAUGGAGUGGUUGGUGUCAAUGCCAAAGGUGGAGUUGCAUGCUCAUCUCAAUGGAUCCAUUAGAGACUCCACACUCCUGGAUAGAACUCACAAAGGCCUUAGGUGAAAAGGGUGUUAUAAAUUUCUCUCAAGUGGAGCAUAUCAUCAUGAAGUGAUAUAUGUGAUUGGCUUUGAAGCUCAAGUUAGAAUAUUAUCACAUGUAUUGAUCGAGAGUGCAUACUCUGUUGAGCGGGUUGAGGAAGUUUUAAGUACACUGCUGCCUAUGCUUCCUGAGAUACAGUAUUUUCGUUUCAAUCCUGAAGCUUUGUCUUGCAGUUGAUGAACGUUGUGAUAUGGAACUUGAUGAGACGGAUCCAACUGUCUGGCAUUUGAAAAUCUCUCUGAGAGAUUGAUUCUGCCUUUCCAGCAUGAAGAGAAGCUUUUCGAGAAUAUAAGAUCUAAAGUAUCCAAGACAGGGGAAUCAAAUGAAGGUUUUGGAAGAUGAACAAGAAAUAAGUUCCUACAUGUUCGAUGGAUGGGAGGGUGCUAGUAUCCAUCUUGCUUUGGAACAUGCUCUCGCCUCGCAUAGGAGAUUACGGAUGUUUGUCAUAAGCAAAAACGGAAGCGGAAAAAAGAACACGCAGCACCAAUUGAUCUACCAACUGAAGGUAGCAACUCAGAAGUCGUCAUACCCCCUUGCUCAUCUUAGCAUGCACCGAGGACGAUACAAACUUUUAAGUGUGGGGAGGUCGUCCGACCAGUCGGUGUUUUUGGGUGACAAAUUUCUAAUUCCAACACUUUUGCAUUUCAUUUUGUUUAGAUCUUUUAGGAUUCUUUGCUGCAUUUUCUUAUUUUGCAUAUAUAUAUAUAUAUAAUAAGUUUAGUUAAAAUAAUAAAAUUUUUCAAGAAAAACAUUCUUUAUAGGGCAUUGACAUUCCAAUUGAUUUGAGUGAAAACUUUUCAUAGAACUUGCUUCAACUAUAUAUUGUGGAUCAUGUUUUUGAACUAAAAACACAAGCUUGUGAGAUUUGAGCCUAAUUGCGUGGUUACAUCUUAUAACCACUUAUUUUCCUUCUUGUGUGCAUUAUUUUCUUCCUAUGAUUGUAAUCUUUGAUUUGUUUGAUUCUUUAUGUCCAUUAUUUUGUGUAUACAUACAUUUAUAUGAUUAAGGCCAUCAUUUUAUUAGCUCACUUACCCAAAUAAGCCUACCUUUUAUCAACCUUUGUUAGCCAACUUUGACCUACGAUUAACCCACUUUGUUCUCUAAGUUAGCACAUUACAAGCCUUAAAGCAAAAAACAAUAAAUGUCCUUAAUUUGGAUCUUUGAUUAGCUUAGACUAGUGAGUGUAUAUAUCAUCCAAGUGUGGGAAAACAUGGGACAUUGGUUGAGGUAAAAGGGUGUUUUUGUAUUUUGAUAAAAAUAUUGGGAAUUGGAUAUAUACCCAUGUAUUAAUUAAAUGUUUAGACCUUAUGUAUUAAUUAAAUGUUUAGAUCUUAUACAUUGAUGUUUUUGUAUAUAGUUUAGUUUGAAAGAAAGAAAAAUGAGAAAAAUAAAAGAAAAAAAAGAAAUAAGUGUGGAAAAAAAUAUAGAAAAAGAAAGAAAAAGAAAAGCAAAAAAAAGGGGACAAAAUGCCCCAAAGUAAAGUUCAAUAAGAAUCAAUGCAUAUGGGUUGUGAUAAAAAAGAGAAUGCAUGAGUACGUGAAAAAGUGAGGAUUAUGGGUAGUUAGGGUUAGCUUUGAAAUUGUAUAGGUUGUUAUAGGUUAGGUGGGAAGUUUAGAUUAAUCAAAGAUUCGAAUUCAAGCCCACUUGACCAUAUGCAUCCUACCUUGACCCUAGCCCCAUUACAACCUUAUGAAUAAGACCUCAUGAUAUUUGUAUGCAUGCAUGAAAUAAUUGUCGAUUAUUAGAUAAAAAACAAAUCUUGAAAAGCAUGAUUAGGGGAGAAUUGAGUGAAUCAACUCCAUACACUUGAGUGACUAGAGCGGAUACACAUCCGGUAAAGAUUCGAUUGCUCAAAUACAUGUUUUCACCUAUGAUCAUCACUUUUCUUGCAAGUUUGUAAAAAUCUUUAAUAACUCAAUUCAUUUGUGGAUUUGAUUUAAUUGCUAUUACUUUAGCCCUUAUGCUUAUAUAUGUUCUCUUGGAAGUUAAUUUAUUUUGACCAAAUAGUUGCAUUCAUUUAGAUAGAUUGCUUUAGAUAGAUUGCAUUUAAUUAGUUUGCAUUGAAUAAAUGUUGAUACCCUUUGAUUAUUUCUUGAUUCUAGCAUGAGGACAUGCUUGGUUUAAGUGUGAGGAGUUUAAUAAACCCUAUUUUUAGAGUUUAUUUUGUGCUUGAUUUAGAAAAUUUUAUCAACUUUUCUCAUAUUUAUUCAAUGAAAUGGCAUGGUUGAUAUAUUAUAAUAAUCAAUAUAUUAUAAUAUAUGAAAGUUGAUAUAUUAUAAUAAUCAAUAUAUUUUUAUCCUCUCGUUUCUUUUUCUAGAAAAGCAAUUCAUUGGCAAAACAUAUGCUCAUGUCAAAAAUUUCUCCUGAAAAUUGUAUGAAUUUCAUCUUGUAAUGAAAAUUAAAGAAGUACUUGCUUGUUUUGUUGAACAAUUAUUAUGCUAUUAUGAUUACUAGAAAGUAUAAAGAAUUAAUUUUAAAAUUUAUGAUUUAAAAUUUAAAAUUUAAAAUAAAUAAUAAAAUAUUUUUUUUUAUUUUGGCUAAAAAAUUAGCUCUUUAGUAUUACUUAUCGUUAGAGAAUGUUAUUUACAAUUUUAUUAGAUUAACUUAUAUAUAGCAUUCUUCUUCGCUGUUAAUUUUUCUUAAAACCAAAAAAUCAAAGAUGAGUAAAAUUAAUUAUUUUUUAUUAGAAUUUAAUUAUUAAUUUAAUUUUUUAGUCGAUUAAUUUAAUAAUAAAUUUUUAACUUAUAUUUUUAAAUAUUAUUAAUUAAUUAUUGACUAAAAAAAUUAAAUUUGACUAGUCUUUUAAUAUUUUUCUUUUCUUAAUUAUAACGUACAUGGUCAAGUAACCAUAAGGAAAAUUAAAUUAUAAAGAACAAAGUACGUACAGUUCAAAGGUUUCACAAGUGAUUAAUUUCUUGAGAUUCUAUAUAAGGAAACAACCCAUGUGAUAAUUUAAUUUAAUUUCUUGAGUUUCUAUUCUCUUGCUUGAUUUUUCUUUGAAAUUUUUUCGAUGGUCGAGAGUUUUUUACGAUGGCCUAACAAGUGGUAUCAGAAUUGAUGGCCCGUGGAGAGCUCUCAACUACCGGAGAAAUUUUGGGGAUGAAUCAAUAAGUUAAUGGAUCUCUCGUCUUAUAAAUUUCUUAUUCUUUCUUGCUUUUUUUGAUGUGAGACUAAGUUCAUGCACUCCUCACACUUGCAAUAUUAACAAUCUCCUCCUCACAUCCAACUCAAAACCUUAAGGUCGUAAGUUAAUGGGUCUCUCAUCUAAUAAACCCUUUACUCUUCCUUGUUUUCUUUGAUGUGGGACUAACUUCAUGCACUCCUCACACUUGCAACAUUAACAAAGCUUGGCCUAUAUAUAUUGUCCCAGUUCAUCCCUUCUUCUCCACUAUGAGUGCUAUACCCUUCUUUUCCACUACAGCCAUUGUAUCAAACUAAAGUGAGGGACGUUUAGAAAGAAACACUGACUAGUUGAAUUAUUAGAGAUAAUACAUAAACCAUAUAUAAGCCAAGAAGCGGAGAUGAUUUUGAAAGUAUGCAGUUGGUUGGUGUUAAUGACAUUUAUGGUAUUAGGGAGCAAGAAAAGCUUGUGCUUCUCCCAAGAAACUUGCAUUUUACGGUGUGGCAAACUCAGCAACAUAAGCCAUCCAUUUCGAUUGAAAGGCGACCCAAAGAACUGCGGGAUCAUCAUGUACGAGCUAGAAUGUGAGAAGAAUGUUGACAAAGUGGAACGCCCUUCUCACAUGGCAACAUCCUUCACACAUUCUAGCUCGUACAUGAUGAUCCCGCAGUUCUUUAGUUCGCCUUUCAAUCGAAAUGGAUGGCUUAUGUUGUUGAGUUUACCACACCGUGAAAUGCAAGUUUCUUGGGAGAAGCACAAGCUUUUCUUGCUCCAUAAUACCAUAAACAUCAUCAACACCAACCAACUGCAUGCUUUCGAAAUCAUCUCCGCUUCUUGGCUUAUAUAUGGUUUGUGUACUAUCUCUAAUAAUUCAACUAGUCAGUGUUUUUUUCUAAACAUGCCUCACUUUAGUUUAAUGCAAUGGUUGUAGUGGAGAAGAAGGGUAUAACACUCAUAGUGGAGCAGUGGGGAUGAACUUGGACAAUAUAUAUAAGCCAAGCUUUGUUAAUGUUGCAAGUGUGAGGAAUGCAUGAAGUUAGUCCCACAUCAAAGAAAUCAAGUAAAAUUGAGGAGUUUAUAAGAUGAGAGACUAAUAAACCAUUAUUUUAUGAUUUAUAUUGUGUUUAAUUGAGUGGUUUUUAUCAAGUUUUUACCCACUUAUUCAUAUGAUUAGCAUGAUAUUACAAUUCCUUUCCAAAAUUAUUCCAUGAUUGAAAACUUGCUUCCAAGAAAUCUUUUAAUUAUGUAUUUUAAUUCUCCUUUAUACCAUUCGAUGCCGUGAUCCAUGUGUUAAGUGUUUCAGGCUUCAUAGGGAAGGAAUGGCUUAGAGAAUGGAGAGGAAGCUUGCAAAAAUGGAAGGAACACAAGAAACUAAGGAGAUGACCAGCGAACACUGACGCGAGCGCGUGAAAUGAAGAAAUCACAGCGACGCGAACGCGUACCUAACGCAAACGCGUGGAUUGAAGUCUGCAAGAAUGACGCGAACGCGUGGACGACGCGAACGCGUGACAAGGAAAUUCACUAAAUGACGCAAACGCGUGGAUGAUGCGUAUGCGUGACCUGCGCGAUCUGCAAAAAUAACAGAAUACGCUGGGGCGAUUUCGGGCCGUAUUUUGACCCAAUUUUUGGCCCAGAAACACAGACUAAAGCUAGGGAACGUGCAGAAACUCAACACGCAUCCACACACAUUCAGAUACAUCGAUAUUAUGAUUACUUUUAGUUUUAGAUCUGAAUCUAGAUUAGCUUUACAUUAGUAGUUAUGCUUUUGCUUUGGAUUUUGAAGAGUCAUUACCUCCAUGAAGACAUCACUUUAGUCUGUUUCCUUAUUCCCUUACUUUUAUUAGUUUUUCAUUGACCCUAUUCAAAUAAGUAUGUUGCAUUUUGAAUUUAUUAAUAUAUAGAGUUACUUUUACUUUUAA